AGGAGCUCAGUGGUAGAGCGUUUGCUUAGCAAGCACAAGGCCCUGGGUUCGGUCCCCAGCU
rnacentral:tRNA from 1 species